rnacentral:rRNA from 1 species
AGUGAACGCUGGCGGCAGGCCUAAUACAUGCAAGUCGAACGGCAGCACAGUGGAGCUUGCUCCAUGGGUGGCGAGUGGCGGACGGGUGAGGAAUACAUGGGAAUCUGCCCAGUCGUGGGGGAUAACGUAGGGAAACUUACGCUAAUACCGCAUGCACCCUUCGGGGGAAAGCCGGGGACCUUCGGGCCUGGCGCGAUUGGAUGAGCCCAUGUUCGAUUAGCUAGUUGGCGGGGUAAAGGCCCACCAAGGCGACGAUCGAUAGCUGGUCUGAGAGGAUGAUCAGCCACACUGGGACUGAGACACGGCCCAGACUCCUACGGGAGGCAGCAGUAGGGAAUAUUGGACAAUGGGCGCAAGCCUGAUCCAGCCAUGCCGCGUGAGUGAAGAAGGCCCUCGGGUUGUAAAGCUCUUUUGUCCGGGAAGAAAAGCAUCGGGCUAAUACCUCGGUGUUCUGACGGUACCGGAAGAAUAAGCACCGGCUAACUUCGUG